UGCGGUGAGAAAAAAAGCAAAGGAAGUUGGGGGAGAUCAGUGGGGAACACUGGAAUGAUCAGAAUUCUGUCAUGCUCCAUGUAAGGCAGCUUAUUUUCUAAUUAAAAGGAAAAAGUCAGUGUCUCACCAGCUGCUUUGGUUAUGAGCAAGUGAAAUUCUGCAGCCAAUUGUGCUCCCUAAGGACCAAGAGGGUGUUACAGGAAAAGCAAGAACUAGUUCUGGCCUCGUGGAGGAGCAAGACCCUACUGCCAUGGAGCACCCCGAAGUGAAGCAAUUGAGAAAGUGUCCAUUAUCAAAACUGUGACCUUAAACAUCAGGAGGUGUUGAUGUGUCCUGGGUGCAGGGAAUGCAGCUCAUCCAUCAGCUCCUCUCGGGAUUUUAAUUCCUAUUUUACACAGCACCGAGGGCUCUCAUUGCAGCAUUCCUACAGACAGGCUAAAUCCUGCAUGGAAACUGGGGAAGGAGAAGGAUGCAGGUUCUUCUGGGGAAUCACAGCUGGAAUGUAAAAUGGCAGGAAAGCUCUGAGCACAGGGAGCUCCUGCAAUCCAGAGAAUCAUUCUAAAGGUAUGUGCACCAACAUUAGGGCAAAACUCCUGUUGUGUUUUCAUCUGCACCUAGGGAGGGGAGUCCAAGGGAAGGACAGAGCUUCCCAGGCCACUGCAGGAGGAUUCCCUUUGGCACAGCCAUGGGGCCCAGACCAGCAGCGUGGGCACAGGCAGAUCACAGGGGCAGCAGUUCCCAAUCCUGUCACAUGAAGCACAGGCAGGGAAGCACUUUGGGAAUGUGCCCUGUUAAUGUGUGUGCAUUUCCCAACUAUUCAAACAUCCAGAUCCAUGCUGAUGUGUUUCCUUGCUUCCCUGCAUCUUGGAGCUAUUGACUGAUGUAUAAAAAAGAGUUUUCUAGUUUUUUACUCUGCAGCCAUACCUGCAGCCCAGGGGCUCAAGGGAAGUUAAGAGACCUUGCCUUGAGCCCAGGAAGAUUCCAGCUGGGAGCUGUGGCAAUACCUGAUCAUUGUGCUAAGCUCAGGAAGCAGCAGGAAUGGAGGAAAACAAGCCAGAUGUGAAAACCUUCCCUGUUUAUUUAAAUAACAAUUCCAUAUGAAAGUGCCACAGGCUCUGGCACCACUGGCACGACUCGCUGGUGAUCUGAGCCAGAAGUGAUGAAAGCAGAGCUCAUUGCAAGAGUCAACAGUUUCACUGCUCUUGUGCAAUGGAAAUUGGAGGAGAGUCAGGAUUUUGGGAGGCCAGUCUCAGGCAGAAGGGAGAACCCAGGGGUGUCACAACCUGAGUCCAACAACCCCCAGUCCUGGAGCUGACUGAGCAACUCCACUGCUUCAAGAGCAGCAGAAACCUCAGGAGUGUUUGGUGUGAGCUGUUCCCUCCCAGCUCUGCCUCAGACCCUGCAGGGUCUCACAGAUCCAGGUCAGCCCUGGCUCCCCUGCUCUCACCACUUCCUCUGGUUACCUCGGUGAACGCUUUGUCUCUUUGGAGCGAGGCUUCA